rnacentral:rRNA from 1 species
UACGUAGGGGGCUAGCGUUAUCCGGAAUUACUGGGCGUAAAGGGUGCGUAGGUGGUUUCUUAAGUCAGAGGUGAAAGGCUACGGCUCAACCGUAGUAAGCCUUUGAAACUGGGGAACUUGAGUGCAGGAGAGGAGAGUGGAAUUCCCAGUGUAGCGGUGAAAUGCGUAGAUAUUAGGAGGAACACCAGUUGCGAAGGCGGCUCUCUGGACUGUAACUGACACUGAGGCACGAAAGCGUGGGGAGCAAACAGG